rnacentral:misc_RNA from 1 species
UCCCGCACGUACAGAUGGACACGAAUAGGCUUCGGCUUAGCGUCUUAGCAGGCGAUUACUCCACUGCUCUCGAAGCGAGUAGUGGUAUUUCGCGAAUUGUAAUUUCAGCACGAGCGGGGUUAAAUCCUUUGCAGACGACUUAGAUGUGCGAAAGGGUCCUGUAAGCAGUAGAGUAGCCUUGUUGUUACGAUCUGCUGAGGGUAAGCCCUCCUUCGCCUCGAUUUCCUCAUGAACUCCAGCGGCCGACGGCCGCGAGCACACGAGGGUUAGGGGACUGCCGCGGGCAGGGACUUGAGGGGCCGCGCCGACGAUUCGGUGCGGCCAAGUCUCGUCUCGACGACGCAAGUACCCUGGAAAGGAUAUUGCGGACGGCCGUGACGGCCAAGUGCGUGUCCGCGACGCCAGGUACCCUGGAAGGGACGCGGUCGAGGCCCGAGACGUGCAACGCAGAACGAAGUGCCCGAGUGCGCCGGGUACCCUGCAAUAGGCUUUAGAGGGCGAGGCGCCAGGUACCCCGGAAAGGGCCUGGGGUGGCCAAGUACCCUGGAGAGCGAUUCCCUAGUACCCUGGAAAGGAGAUGGAUGCUGAGCCCCCUGGAAUGGCCAAGUACCCUGGAGCAGAAUUCCCGAGUACCCCGGAAAGCGAUUCCCAAGUACCCUGGAGCAGAAUUCCCGAGUACCCCGGAAAGCGAUUCCCAGGUACCCUGGAAAGCAAUUCCUACGCACCCUGGAGCAGAAUUCCCGAGUACCCCGGAAAGCGAUUCCCAAGUACCCUGGAAAGCAGUUCCCAAGUACCCUGGAGCAGAAUUCCCAGGUACCCUGGAAAGCAAUUCCUACGCACCCUGGAGCAGAAUUCCCGAGUACCCCGGAAAGCGAUUCCCAAGUACCCUGGAAAGCAAUUCCUACGCACCCUAGGGCGGAAUUCCCAGGUACCCUGGAAAGCAAUUCCUACGCACCCUAGGGCGGAAUUCCCAAGUACCCUAGGGUAGAAGCCUUAAGUACCCUAUAAAGCAGUCUUUAGGUACCUUAGAAAGGAGAUCCUAAGUGUAAAUAUUUUUUCGGUAAAUAAAAUAGACAUAGAAGUAGCUGUAGUAGAGAAGUAGUAGGAUUAGAAGCGUUACUUAUACUAAGGCCUAUAUUAUAAAACUGUUAAAUAGGGUACUAGAAAAUAAAAGAGUUAUUAAGGGACUAUACAAAGGAGGUUAGAUUAAGAGGGGAGCUUUUUCUUAAAAGGUAAGUAGUAUUCUACUUUUAUACAGUCACCUCUCUUAAUAAGGGUAGAAGAUAAGAUAGAAAUAGGCUAUCUAUACAGGUAAGGAUAUAUAGUAACGCCUACAUAGUAUAAAGAAUAGAGUGUCUAAGUAUAGUAGUAAAAGUAAAUAGUACUAAGACUAGAAUAAUAUAUACUUAUAUAUUAGAUUCUAAGACGUAUAUACAAGAGAGAAGCUUUAAUGCUUAUAGUAGACUAUAGGUUUAUAAAGAAUAGAGAUAAGUAAAGACGGAGAUAAAGGCAGACCUCUAAAGGAAAGCUACUUUAUGGAAAGGAAGUCUAGGUACCCUAGGAAGGCCAAGUACCCUGGAAAGAACGUCCUAGGUACCCUGGAAAGGCCAAGUACCCUGGAAAAAGUCCCAGGUACCCUGGAAAGGCCAAGUACCCUGGAAAAAGUCCCAGGUACCCUGGAAAGGCCAAGUACCCUGGAAAAAGUCCCAGGUACCCUGGAAAGGCCAAGUACCCUGGAAAAAGUCCCAGGUACCCUGGAAAGGCCAAGUACCCUGGAAAAAGUCCCAGGUACCCUGGAAAGGCCAAGUACCCUGGAAAAAGUCCCAGGUACCCUGGAAAGGCCAAGUACCCUGGAAAAAGUCCCAGGUACCCUGGAAAGGGACUUUCUACCUUGGCGCCUAGGCUAUAAGUAGGUAGUAUAGGGCUGUAGAGCGCCUCUAGGGGAGCCUAGCGCACCAGGCCCUAUAGCUAUAGCGCCUACAGCGGGCGAGAAAACCGCUGCGGAAGUUCAAAAAACCGGCGGUUGGACUGCGGGGUGGGCGCCCGCGGGCUGCCCGGCACGGCGGGCUUAUAGAGCUCGCUGCGGCGGUUACAGCGCCGUAAGGCCCUAUACGGUAGGCACUAUAGCGCUGGAGAUACGGCGGCCCAAAGCCGCAGGUACCCUGGAAGGCAAUUGUCAAGUACCCUGGAAGGGAAAAAGAGGUGGGCCGCAGGGCGCCGCCGAGCAGCUGGUGGCGGCGACGACGUGGGCGGUCGACGGGCAUACCUGGGUUUUGCGUGCGGGAUCGGAUAAGGUUUUGGUGGCCGUGAGUCGAUUUUUUUGUUUUCCCAUACAAAUCUUUUUUUCGGGAAAUGUUUUUUCGGGACAGAAGCAGGUGGAGCGGGGCCGGGGCGCAAAAAGUGUCGCAGGGCCUAUGAGAAGAGAGCGAGUGCAGCCAACCGGCGGCACAGCGCAACUGCUCCACCCGCUGAGGGUGCGCGCUGUAGAAAUACAGCGCAACCGUCCCAUAUCUUAAUGACUGCUGCGUGGCGUCUCUCUGAACAGCCUCGCAGGUAUCUUCCUCGGUGGCGGGGAGUUCGUAGCAGCAGUCGACGCCCACUGUGGUGCACCGCUAAGGCGGCGCAUCAUCCUGGGAGUGCCCGGAGGGUUUGGGGGUCACGAGCCCCUAGACCCGAAGGAUGGGUUCUGUGGAUGAAUGGCCGUUGGCUAUACUUACACUGAGCAUCGGGAGAGAAACGCCCGCGGUCGGACGCUGAAUAGCUGAAGCCGCGGGGCCAGUUGCUCCUCUUGGGACCCCCCAACCACGCAACCCCCCCGGGGGCACAGCGCGGUGAACGGGGUCCUGGGGAAUUCAGAGGGGGAAAGCGGAAGCUUCCUCUGCGCCUACGGCCUAGCCGGACGGCCGCAGGGGGGGCGCGAGCGCUGUUUCGGCAGCGUGAGCGAUUCCGGUGACUAAAACGCUUCGGCC